rnacentral:misc_RNA from 1 species
GGAGGAGGAGGGGGGGGAAGAGGAGAGGGGAAGUAUUGGGAUUUGUAGCAUUGAAGUGAUUAAUCUAUUCAUUGCUUUUGCUCAUAUAGUUUGUAUUUGCUCCAAUCUAUAAUCUCUCUCUCACAGCAUGAGGUGAUAUAUUUAUAGAUUUGCAGCAAGUCUACUUCAGUGGACGUAUUUCAAAAAUAUAUUCUGAAUGUGUUAAGCUUAUAUGUGUCUGC